UCCCAUGAGUCACCUAUAAAGCAGGCUACAAGCUGCCCCACGAAGGGUGCCUAGUUUAUCAACAUUUUCGCACUGCUCAGUAGCUCUGGGAAUAAUCAGGCCACCCUUGUAUAUUUGUGUACAAAGGGAAGCUAGUGGCCUGUCCUUCCUCGGACCGGGACUGAAGUUCUUUUGUCUCAAGGAAAUUACAACUACGAAAGGGCUCAUCCAAACGGCAGCUGCACGGAAGUCCAAGGUCAAGGAGCAGGAAUUUGACAGCUUUUGAGCUUCAGGAAACCGGCCCAUUCCUAACUGACAUUGUUUCCAUUCAAGCUCACACUCCAGCAGAAGACUUCUUUUUUUAUAAUUUAUGAAUGACAGAAUGAACAAUACAUCCCAGGCUAAAGGAGCCUGUGGUUCUACAGACCUGGAUUUGUUUUUUUCUCAUAUCCAAAAUUCCAGGAAAAGGAGAAAGAAAAA